rnacentral:lncRNA from 1 species
UCAGAAUGACUUUUCUGUUAGCACAGGAUCAAAACAUUAAAAAUAGCAAACAAGGGCAAAAGCUAAUUUGUGACCUUAUUGCAUUUGUUAUGGGAGGGGAAGAUAGAGAUAAGACUCAAUAACUUAGUUCUCCCUAGCAGGAAAUUCAUUAAUAAUCUUUCAUUCCUCUCCCCACCCACACCAGGUGAAUGAGUUAAUUUAUUCAUAGCUCAUAGACUCUAAGUUAUGAACUCUCAAAGUCAUUGAAAAGCAAGUUCCAUUUUCAGGAGGAAGAGCUGGAAUAAAAGACAUGAUAGGUAAAUGAAUUUAUAGCACAUACUUAGAGGAAAUGAACAGUGUAUCAGCUGCAUAUGCAGGAUACACCUAUGUAUGUCUACACUGACAGCUUCCAAAAAAAAAACCUACCAUCACAACUAAAAAAGGGAACAGAUAAGGCUUAAGGAAGAAAUGAAACUUCUGGAAGAGAUCCAGAAUUCCAGAAAAUACACUGUUUCCGAGAAGUAACUUAAACAUCUACAUUUUUUAGGUACCUGGCAACUUUUACCAUUACUGUUUCUUGAUUCCUAUUAUAUUUGGAUUUCUGUGUUUUCAUAAUACAGACUGAAACCUUUUAAGAAUAUUAAUCUUAAGAGAUUUAAAACUAAAAAAUUAAUACUUCUAUUUAAAAAACUUUUUUUUUCCCCUCCCCAUUUUUGUUGCACUUUAGUGUUAAGCAAAUGAAGAGAAACGCAACAUAAACUGGACCUGAUUUUUUUUUUAAGGCAAUCUCACAAUAAGCUAGUAGUUUUAUUACCAUCUUUAAUUAUUCAAAGUUAACUUUGUGAUCACAAAAUUAUUGAAUAAAUAUGCAGAGUGAAAGGUUGAUUAAGAAUACAUGGCAAGAAUUGUUGAAUUAAUCAUCAGAGAUCAAGGCCUAUAUAUCAUUUAAAUGAAGUUCAAACUCUGGAUUAUGUACUAAAGGAAGUUUUGAGUCAAAGCUAUUCCAAAACCUCAAGCUGAGGAAGUGCCUCUUUUAUAAUAGGUACAACAUUCACAGACCUGGUAAUGAAACCAACUGGGUUAUAUUUUAAUAUCCAUAGACAGAAGAAUGUUAACAAGAUGUGUCUUCAUGCUCAGGGAAGCAAAUCCAAAGUCAAAUGGUAUAUAAUUAAACCUGUUUGCUAGCUCAGAAUUCCAAAGCCAUGAUUUUCUUUUGAAUAUCAGUAAUGAACCAACUAAACCUAUUCACCCAAGUUUUUGAUGUUCAUUUCAAAGCAGUAAAAAGGAAUACCUCGCAACACUGAGUAGUGUUUAUUAAAUCUCAACCUAAAAUACAAAUUAGCAUGAGUUCUCAGAGAGAGUGGAAAUGUCACAGAAAUAAGCAUAUUAAGCCUGCUAAAAUUUUUCCUAUUAUGAUUUAUUUUCAAUCUAUAAAUACACCACCUUGUAAGUGUAAGAAGCUUGGGCAAUUUUUUUUUUUUGUUUGUUAAAACUUGAAGCAUUAUUGC